rnacentral:rRNA from 1 species
AUUGAACGCUGGCGGAAUGCUUUACACAUGCAAGUCGAACGGCAGCACGGACUUCGGUCUGGUGGCGAGUGGCGAACGGGUGAGUAAUGUAUCGGAACGUGCCCAGUCGUGGGGGAUAACGUAGUGAAAAUUACGCUAAUACCGCAUACGAUCUAUGGAUGAAAGCGGGGGAUCGCAAGACCUCGCGCGAUUGGAGCGGCCGAUAUCAGAUUAGGUAGUUGGUGGGGUAAAGGCCCACCAAGACAACGAUCUGUAGCUGGUCUGAGAGGACGACCGGCCACACUGGGACUGAGACACGGUCCAGACUCCUACAGGAGGCAGCAGUGGGGAAUUUUGGACAAUGGGCGAAAGCCUGAUCCAGCCAUUCCGCGUGCAGGAUGAAGGCCCUCGGGUUGUAAACUGCUUUUGUACAGAACGAAAAGGUUUCUACUAAUACUAGGAGCUCAUGACGGUACUGUAAGAAUAAGCACCGGCUAACUACGUGCCAGCCGCCGCCGUAA